ACUCCGUAAUGAUAAUAAUACGGGGUUGCAAUCCAUUGGAAAUUACAAUCUAGAACUGCAAAAUGUCACAUAUAAAGCUCGCAAGAUGUAGUUUUCUCGUCCGUAUAAUAACUGUAUUUCUGGAAAAGGUGAUUUAAGCUACCGUUUUAGGUAUAUAAGAGUUAUAAAUUUUCUUGGAAAUUAGUUAGAUUCUGUGGAGAAGACCUGGAGAAACCAGUGAAUGUUAAGCUGAAAUCACACAAGGAUUAAUUUAGAAUUAUUUUGUUCACGUCCCUGUUUUGGAAUUACUUAAUUGUGUUGUUGGAAUAAUACGAAGGAUUCAAUUUAUGUUUGGAAUUCUUUUAUUUAGUAUUUUGUAGACUAAGAACAAGGUGAAGAUAACGAACAUUGGUGAACCUCAUAACUCCUAUAAGGAAUACAAAAUUAAGAGUAGGACUAACAUGGGCCCCUGGACACACCAGAGGUGGGACCAGGUGUCCAGAAGUAGCAAGCAACUCACGUCGACGUCACCACUGAUGAAUCACGUGGUAUAUAAGCGGCAGACAGAAGGGGAUUCAUAUGUAAUUAUUGUUAAAUUACUCUAAAUUGCCAUUUAUUGGCAAAAACAUUUCCUGCAGCGAACAAUACAUCAAUUUUUCCAUUUAGAUGCGAUGGCAACGAAAAUUAUACAAGAAGGAUGAUUUCAUAUUGCAUGAUUAAGUUCAUAUCCAGAACGGAUCAGAUGUGUUGAAAUAAAAUCAUGAGUGCUUCAUUUAUCUCUAGAAUUAUAUUUGUUUAUCAGAGAUUUAAAGGACUCCAUGGUUUUUUACGUUCUGUUUUAUUCAGAGUGUCUUAUUAUUUUAUUUUGUAGAACUUGUAAUUGUUGAUCAUUAUACGAUGAGGAUUCUAGAGGAUUGAAUAUAGUAAUAUAGGUAUUACAUUCUCCAAAAAAACACCACGAUAUAUUUUUAACAAACUACAGGAGGUAUGGAUUUCUGGAGAGAGAGAGAGAGAGAGAGAGAGAGAGAGAGAGAGAGAGAGAGAGAGAGAGGUUAUGCUAGUAUUACUUUGACGUGGAUUUCUUUUUUCACCCUUUAUUUUUAUAACCUGGUAUUAAUAUACUUAUGAAGGUACAGUUUAUGCAUUAAAAGAAAAUGGCUUGCAAUGAAAUAUGUCUCUUGGUUUUAUCAUGUAAAAUACGGGGGGUUUGUUCUCGAUUAGAGUGAGAAAUGAAACAAUCAAUAAAGCAAACAAAAUUUCCGCCGUGUUUUUACAAACUUGAUUUGAAGCAUACUUUAAAAAUCAGAAUUGACGAUUAGGGUUAAACCAACAUGUACAUUAAAUAAUGUGUUCGGUGUUUCUAUAUGUGUAUAAAAUAUUAUUCAUUUACUAUAUUCAAAAGUCUAAUAAAAAUAUGUGUCUUCUGUACACAGAAUGAAGCCAAAAACCUUUAGUUGCUCAAAUGUUUUCUUUUAUUAUCCAAAAAUUGCGAAGUGUUUAAUCUAUUCACGCCUUAGAUUUAUAAAUAUGUAAUUUUACUUUAGAACGAAAUGAAACAUUAUAUUUUAAAUUACUUUCUGUUGACUAAAUGUGGAGGUCUGUGAAUAUUAUGAUAUUUUUUUUCAUAUAAUGUGAAUUUUAUUUUGCUUUCAGCUAUAUAAAUGAUCUUUCGAUUUCUUGAAAAUGAUACUUUUGGAAAAAAGAAAUCUAUUUGAUCCAAGGUAGUCGUUGAAAGUAUUUCACUCUCCCGUCCAGUUAGAACAAGCCUGGCGUGAAACUGAUCCGUUACCGGCAGAAAAGUCGUGAGAAUACUGAAACGUCAACUUCUGUUUCGUGAUGGAAACAAAAGGGGGGUGAAAUCUGACAGUUUUUAGUGGUGCAAUAAACAUCUUGAGUUCUCCGGCUCCUGACAGCGGCUUACUAUCUAUGUCCUUCUAACCUGUAAUUUGUACGAAGGCUGUAUGAGAACUACACAGACAUUUUUUUCUUCAAGGGGGCUAUAUUGUUCUCGGAGGAGGUCCCUAGAGAGGAUUCAUGCUUCAGAUUUUGGUAUUUAUUUCUCUUUUUUUAAAUCUAAAUCUGUAACUAGUUCUUUUGCCUCUUGACUUAUUUUCGUCAUUAAGUAAAACUUUUAAAUGCCUUUCGUAAUGGAAUUUUGCACUUCUUUCCUGCAUCUUCAGCAACAUAACUGUAUCGAUAUUGAUUAAGUUCUGGAAAUAUUUCCAAAGAUGUAAACACUGAAAUCGAAUUCUUUGACAUUUUGUAAUGUGGUAUUUUUUUGCAAUGCAUAGUAACACGCUUGGCCCUCUGACGGUGUGCUUUUGUAAAACGGGGGUAACUGUCAAAACCUUAAAUUAAUUUUGACAAAACUGAGUAUGUUGAACGUCAGAGAGGCACUCAAUGAUACUAAUUAAGUUGUCUGUAUGAUAGAUAGGGACUAUCUAACGCAAUCGCGCCAAGUCAUCGCCCGCAAACCUUUUGAUAUAAUCACAGAUUAUCAUUUGUACGAACUUCUAGUAUCACAUUUGUUCUUUAAUUCAUUUAUAUAACGCAAGAAAGGAAUUUUCAUAUUAGAUUACUUUCAAAUGAUUUGACUUUUGUCAAUCAACAAUGAGAAAUGAUAAUUUCAAUAGCGGUAUGGCGGACCUCUCUGAGUAUGUAAAAUUUUUCCCAGAUAAUUGGCCCAUAUGAAAGGUGUGUGUAAAGAAUAUGAAGCAGAUUGAACACAAUAAGAAGUAGAUAAUUCUAUAAAUAUAUAAUAGAUCAUUAUGAUUAAAAUAUUCACAAAACGGCAUCGGAGAAAUAGGAGACGAACGGAAGACGAUCGCCAUGCAAUUACGCCUGACCUUUGACAGAGAAGAUUUUCUUAUUUUCCCCUGACUCUUCCGUAAUUGUCGGUCUAUCUUCGGUAAUUAUCGGCCUAUUGUCAAUUUCAAAGCUUACAAAUCCAAUAUCAUUCCAUAAUUUCAGUGUUCUACUUUGGCGUAUACUAAAGGCUUGAUACUUUAAACAAUGCGUCGGUGACGUUAGCUAAUGCCAAGACUUCAAGGAAUACACGGAAUCCAUUGACAAAACGAGGUCGCUCCGACCAGAUUUGUAGACAACGGAUGUGAAGGAAAGAAAUACCUUACUUAUAAAUCCCACUCAAAUCAAAUACAAAGCCUUAAAAGGUACUUUGGUCUUAAACAGUGUAUGUGGCUGUGAUAUACUACGUCAUGUAUCCAUCAAGAUUUUUGAAAAUAAAUAUUAGUAGGUAAAUUUAACAUUUUGGAAAUAAUUCUUAUCAUGCAUUUGGUUAUGAAGGAAACAUAGGCGGUCGAUUAUCAUUUAGCUAAUUAUUUUAGACGUGGUUCUGAUGCAUGUUUCGGAAGUUGGGAGACAGAGUAAUUUUCCCGACGUCUAUUUCACAAGUAACAUUUAGCUAGAGGUGUUUCCCUUUAUUCUGUUCACGAGCGCCGAUUUUUUGGAUAAAUCAAGGGGCAGGUCUACAUUUACAUUCCUCGUGUACAAUUUAUUUUACAUUCAAAGAUUUCAAUUACGCCAAUUAAUGAAAUAAUCACAAAAUCAAUUCAAGGCGGAAGCAAGCCUUGCGCCAAUUUUCCGAGAACGUUUUAGACUGACGUUGGCGCAGCGUGCCGUGACUUCCGGCGUUUGAGGCGGAAUGAUAUGAAGACACGCAGCUCUUUAUAGCAGUCGCAUGAAAAACCAAUGUUUUCUUUUUGAUAUUCUAUCAAUCUCCCGCGCGGAUCAAUAUGAUUACAGUAAGGUUAGAUUUACGAGAUGCUUGAAUUUCAUGACAAAGCAAUUUAAAAGAAAUUAAUAAAAAUAGAAAAACGUUUUUGUUUGAACAUUUCCAUGUGUAAUGUAACAUUUGUAAUUUCACAAGGGAAAUAAGUUUGAAUCUUAUCUUCUGUAACAUUGAAUAAAGCAACUUUUGUUAUAACGAAUUUUUCUUUUAGGGUUAGUUCUUCAUUUUGAGCUAAAAAAAAAAAAAAAAAAAUAUGGUUUGACUGUCACACUCUGACUCCGGGUCCAUAAAAACAAACUCUUCACAUCUCUUCUAUUUAAAGCAAUACUAUGCACAAUAUCAACUCCUAACUUUAAGGUACAUGGUCACCAAUCGCUGUCAUUACUCUGUUCUGAUCUGAUGUUCAUAUGUAGCGACUAUUUCCCUAUCCUUAUUUUUGCUGAUUAAAGUAAUAUUUAAUUUAGUAUAACACAUUGAAUGCCUUAUUUCGUGCUGUAGAACAUAGUAAUGUGUUUUAUUUUUUUGUUUUCGUAUUUCAAUUCCCAUUUUCGCAGUUUAAAAGAAGAAUUACAGUCUUGUAAACAUUUAAUUGAAACCAGCAGAUAAUAGAGUCUUUCAAAAGUAUUUUUGUAAUUUUUAUGAAUGAAAAUGUUGUCAAUUACUUGAUUAUCAUAAGUGGUUCAAAAUUAUUGUUCAUUUUGUAAAGCAAUUACAUGAACGAACCAAAAAAUGGACUAGUUGGUAGUGUCAAAUUUCUAACUUUUCAGAUUUUCUUUUAUUUGUAUUUCUGUGUCAUUGCGACCCAAUUAAUGUUUUCUCGGGACAUAAAGGUGCACGAGAGCCUAAAAGUAAUUAAGAAUACACACACUGUCAGAUAUUUACAAUUUUGUUUCUAUGAGACAUGCAUGUAAACCCAUGUUUCUUCGUUGUAUUUCAUUCGAUUCACAUAUUAUAAUUUACACAUUCAAUUCAUUUAUGUGCUGUAGAUAAAUAAAUACAUUUAGACAGAUAAAUCGAGAGAGAGAGAGAGAGAGAGAGAGAGAGAGAGAGAGAGAGAGAGAGAGAGAAUUUUGAAAAUUCUGAUUAUCAAGUUUUAUUUUCAAAACUUAAGUUCUAUUCCGUGAACUUGAUGGAUUUGCAGUAUUUAUGCUACAUUUCUUGAAUAGCCUCUGAACAAGUUCUGUAACACUGCUUACUCUCCUUACGCGUAUCAAAUUUUCUUAACUUCGUAAUUCAAUUACAGAAUGAUUAUUGCGUCUAAUUAAACCCCUCUACCACGGAGCCGGAGAGGGGUACGUCUAAUUUUGAAAGACAUUGAAAGUUCAGAAAUAUUUAUUAAAAUGUUCUAUUCAGAAACAGAUAUUAUUUACUGAUGUUUGUUGUAAAUCGCAAUUACAUGUACUGGUUCGGCUUAUUUUGUCCUUUAUCGCGUCCAUUCAAAAGUCUUGGGAAUGACGUCACAUUACAUUUCAAAACGUUUCUAUUUUUCGUUUUGUUGCGAUAUUGUCUUCAAAAUCAAACGCAAAAAUACACCAAAUACGUUUUAUCACAUUAACAAGGAAUAAAAAUAAUUGCUACUCAUUUUAUACGAUAUCAAGUUAGCGCUCUUUCAUAAAAUAUCAUAACUCACUUUAUAUCGUACAAAAUGAGUAGUAUUUAAUUAUUUUUAUUCCUUAAAUUGCUGUUUAAUUGUAGACGUUUAUCUUAUACCAGUGACGUAUAGAAAGAGAAAAUUGUCGGAUUAAAAAAAAAAAAUUCUGUAUGACAAAUAUUCCAUUUCCAUAUUCACGUGCAAUGUAAUGCAUCUGACUUGGUUUAUACAUGUAUACUUUCUGGACGCCCGAUUUUGCGUUGCUCAGUUUGACACAUAUAAACACAUAAGAUUGGAUUGAAUGGUCAUUAUUAGCUGCAUAAAUGACAAAGCAGACACAUUGAGCCAUGGGGUGUAUAUCAGGGGCUAUAUGGGGUCUGUAUCAGGGGCUAUAUGGGGUCUGUAUCAGGGGCUAUAUGGGGUGAAAAGAACACUUGUUUAUUGUUUUGAUUUAAAUUUUUAAAAAGUGCACAUAAUGAACAGUGAUCACUUUCAUAAAUCCUAUAAAGAAUACAAAAUUAAGAGAAGGACCAACACAGACCCUUGGACAUACCUGAGGUGGGAUCAGGUACCUAGGAGGAGUGAGCACCCCUUGUUGACUGGUCACACUCGCGGUUAGCUCUCCAUUUUGAUUAGGUAAACAGAAUAACCGUAGUCAAAAUCAGCCUAACAACUAGUAUGAAACACGUCAGACUGCAUUUGACCCAAUGACAGGUUGAAUUGGCAAACUACAUGUAGAUCGUUAUAACGACCAUAGAAUUUGUGAAAUGCUGACUUUAAGCGAAUCUGUUGAAACCCCUGUAACAUCAACGUAUUUGUCAUUUGCCCGCCUCGAUUUAAAAAAUUACCAUACCCAGAACAAGCUGUCGUGUAUCGAAUCAGUUGAGAGAUAUAAACACCACAUGCAGGUGAUAAUGGAAUGUUACUACAUCAAUAUGGGAAGAUGACGAUAGAGAAGCGUCAUGAAGUUUAGUUGUUAAUUUGCUGUUAACAUCUAUGAUCAAUAAAAUAUCUAAAUAUGAAGCCGAUGUAGAAGACUCUGUGCUGUCUUUUAUUUCGAGUUCACUGUGAUAUAUCGAAUCGACAUAUGGAUGAAAAUGAACAUUUUUUAAAAUGAAAAAGUAAUCACUGAUACUUUUCAUACAGUUUAUACCCCCCCCCCCAAACUUAGUAUACAUUUACAUAAAAUCCCAUAACUCUGUUUUCUUCUUCAGGAGUUUUUUUCUACAGCAAUAAACCUUUUUCGAAAUACUUUAUGAUAUUGAUUGAAUGCAAGUCUCAUGCCGCCUGCUUCAACUCCACACUGAAUCCAAUUUUUUGGAAAUUUGAAAUUCUUCCUAAUAGUAGGUAGGGCAUUGUUUAUUUGCUAUCAUGUCCUGAUGAUUAAAGUUUCCAGAAUUAUUGUUGUAAAGUUUUACAGGUAUGCUAACUUAUUUGUCCGUUAGAACAAUUUCUAUAUGUUUCACGAUCAAAUACAAACUAGCAGGCGGUAUACUUGAUAAUAUACGACUUUCGUACGUUUAACAAAUGAUAAGUCGAAGCAUAAAAAUUCACUCCACCACUAUAUCUAAUAAAUCCCUUUUUAAUUCAGAUAUCCAACGAUGGAAUCGAAGUAAAUUCGGGAUUAAAAGAGGGGGGGAUAAACAUAUGAAUUAACGAAGACAUCGCUGGAAUGCACAUGAUUGAAGGCGGUGACUACGUACACAUCCACAUAGAGGCAGCAACAAGGAGUAAAUGAUGCAGCUUUUGUAGGAAAUCCAGUCUGUAGAAAGGCAUAUAUUGAAUAUAGAAUUGUUCACUAAUUUGGGAACCAUCUUUUUAGGAAGAAAUUAGUCACAUGAUCACCGUACAUAGAGAGAAGUCUUAAACUAUAUACGAGCUUAUAAACAAGAAGCGAUUACUGAAAAUGUAACGACAGAAUAGUACAUCAUUCAAGACGCAAAAGGACUUCGUUGUGACCACCUUACAUGUAACUGUACUGCGUUUCUUAAGGAAGAGAUCAUUUCGAAAUAGGACGUUCACUUUAUUCGGAAACCAUUUCUAAAGGAAUCCAUAUCCGCAGGAAGACAGCGAAAUCUGAAAGAAGACUGCAUAAAUACAUCCAAAGGAUAUUUCGUAGUCUUUCCUGAGAAAUAUACACCCGAAAGAGGACUGUGAAAUAUACACCCGAAAGAGGACUGUGAAAUAAACACCCGAAGGAGACCUGUGACAUAUACACCUUAAGGAGGAAUACAAUGCGCACACUUGAAGGAAGACUAUGAUUGAUUGAUUGAAUAUUGUUUUACGUCCCUCUCGAGAAUAUUUCACUCAUAUGGAGACAUCACCACUACCGGUGAAGGGCUUCAAAAUUUCGGCCUAUGCUUGGCGCUUAUGGCCUUUGAGCAGGGAGGGAUCUUUAUCGUGUCACACCUACUGUGACACGGGACCUCGGUUUUGGCGGUUUCAUCCAAAGAACCGCUCCAUUUAGUCGCCUCUUACGACAAGCAAGGGGUACUGAGGACCUAUUCUAACCCGGAUCCUAAAGAUAUGAGUAAAAGUCUCUAGCCCCUAACAUCUUACUUCAGUAGAAAAUCCGACGAAUAUUAAAGUAUCAGCUUAAUGCAGAAUUUGGAUGAGAUGUAUAGGAGGUAUUUCAAAAUCAUAGAUUUAUUGAUUCAAGAAAUCUAAACAGUUCGGACAAUAACGCUCACGUUAUACAGCCGAGGUUAGGUAUAGGUAUGGAAUAAGCCGAGGUGUGCCGAGUGGACGGCGAUUCAGAAAACCACAAGAUGAUCCGGAAACUCGGAUCACUUUCUAUGAAAUCAAUAAAAGAAAAACAAAAAACAAAGUGAAAUUAUUUUUGUGUAUGCAGUCUUGCUUGUGAUGCGACCGAUCAAUGUCCACAAAAACGUGCCAAUCGGAACAUCGCUCGGCUUUUUCCGUCGUGUUGAGAAAAUACAAGCGUUUUCACGGUAAAAAUAUAAAUCACCUUCAGUGUAAUACCGACUACGCGGAAGAAAUGCGAAAGAAACAAAACUCUAUUUGCUGUCAUUUAUGUUUAUCGUUUCAAUAUUGAAUAUCUUGAUGUGGUCUGUUUUACAUAAGUACAUACAGUUUUGAUGAAAGAAAGCAUUUCAUUUGAAAAAUAUCCGCUUCAAAUUUACACGUGGUAUCAAAUACAACCAAACGAUGACGAAUGUUUAGGAUUUACUAGGAGUAAAAGACGUGGAAAGCAUUUAUCAGAAGUAACUGCCAAAUCAAGAUGAAGACAUAAAGUGUCAAUUAAAAUUUUUUUUCUGUU